rnacentral:rRNA from 1 species
AGCUCCAAUAGCGUAUAUUAAAGUUGUUGCAGUUAAAAAGCUCGUAGUUGGAUUUCUGAUUUCGUCGGGUGGUCUGGCCUAGUGUCAUGCACUACCUGGUGGGGUCUUCCUCUCGAAUUGUGCGUCUGCUCUUAACUGAGUGGGCGUAUGGUUUGGGAUCUUUACUUUGAAAAAUUAGAGUGUUCAAAGCAGGCGAUUGCUUGAAUAUAUUAGCAUGGAAUAAUGGAAUAGGACUUGGGUUCUAUUUUGUUGGUUUCUAGAACCGAGGUAAUGAUUAAUAGGGACAGUUGGGGGCAUUCGUAUUUAAUUGUCAGAGGUGAAAUUCUUGGAUUUAUGAAAGACGAACUUCUGCGAAAGCAUUUGCCAAGGAUGUUUUCA